CUCACCUAUAAAGCUCUUCAUGGUCAGGCCCCUUCAUAUCUUAAAGAGCUCAUAGUACCCUAUUACCCCACUAGAACACUACGUUCUCUGAAUGCUGGGCUACUUGUGGUUCCUAUAGUCUCUAAAAGUAGAACAGGAGCCAGAGCCUUCAGUUACCAAGCUCCUCUCCUGUGGAACCAGCUUCCAGUUGUGGUUCUGGAGGCAGACACCCUCUCCACAUUCAAGAGUAGGCUUAAGACAUUCCUCUUUGAUAAAGCUUAUAGUUAGGGCUGGAUCAGAUGAGUCCUGAACCAUCCCUUAGUUAUGCUGCUAUAGGCCUAGACUAUCGGGGAUUUCCCAUGGUGCACUGAGCUACUCUCUUCCUCUCUCUUUCUGCACUCAUUCAUGUCCCUUUAAUGCAUGUUACUAACUCCACUUCUUCCCCGGAGUUCUUGUGCUUUCUCGUCUCGCAGGUUCUCAUGGAUCCUGGUGGAGCCUCCUGCCAUGGUCCUGCUUGACUGCCAUUGCCAAUACUGUUGUUGCUGUGCACCUGUCUGUCUGUCUGUCGCUCUCUCUCUCUCUCUCUCUCUCUCUCUCUCUCACCCCAACUGGUCGAGACAGACGACCACCCACCUAGAGCCGGAGGAUCUGUCCUAGGUUUCUGCCUUUUAACAGGCAGUUUUUCCUUGCCCUUGUCGCCAAGUGCUUGCUCAUGGUGGUACUGUUGGGUCUCUGUAAUUAAUGUUAAAGAGUUCGGUCUAGACCUGCUCUAUUUGAAAAGUGUCCUGAGAUAACUUCUGUUAUGAAUUGGCGCUAUACAAAUAAAAUUGAAUUGAAUUGAAA